CCUACGGGAGGCUGCAGUGGGGAAUAUUGGACAAUGGGGGCAACCCUGAUCCAGCAAUGCCGCGUGUGUGAAGAAGGCCCUAGGGUUGUAAAGCACUUUCAGUCGUGACGAUGAUGACGGUAACGACAGAAGAAGCCCCGGCUAACUCCGUGCCAGCAGCCGCGGUAAUACGGAGGGGGCAAGCGUUGUUCGGAAUUACUGGGCGUAAAGGGCGCGUAGGCGGUUUGUUAAGUUAGACGUGAAAUCCCGGGGCUCAACCCCGGAACUGCGUUUGAAACUGAUAGACUAGAGACCGGAAGAGGUGAGUGGAAUUCCCAGUGUAGAGGUGAAAUUCGUAGAUAUUGGGAAGAACACCAGUGGCGAAGGCGGCUCACUGGUCCGGUUCUGACGCUGAGGUGCGAAAGCGUGGGGAGCAAACAGGAUUAGAUACCCUUGUAGUC
rnacentral:rRNA from 1 species